rnacentral:rRNA from 1 species
AUGAACGCUGGCGGCGUGCCUAAUACAUGCAAGUCGAACGAGUUCUCGUUGAUGAUCGGUGCUUGCACCGAGAUUCAACAUGGAACGAGUGGCGGACGGGUGAGUAACACGUGGGUAACCUGCCCUUAAGUGGGGGAUAACAUUUGGAAACAGAUGCUAAUACCGCAUAGAUCCAAGAACCGCAUGGUUCUUGGCUGAAAGAUGGCGUAAGCUAUCGCUUUUGGAUGGACCCGCGGCGUAUUAGCUAGUUGGUGAGGUAAUGGCUCACCAAGGCGAUGAUACGUAGCCGAACUGAGAGGUUGAUCGGCCACAUUGGGACUGAGACACGGCCCAAACUCCUACGGGAGGCAGCAGUAGGGAAUCUUCCACAAUGGACGCAAGUCUGAUGGAGCAACGCCGCGUGAGUGAAGAAGGCUUUCGGGUCGUAAAACUCUGUUGUUGGAGAAGAAUGGUCGGCAGAGUAACUGUUGUCGGCGUGACGGUAUCCAACCAGAAAGCCACGGCUAACUACGUGCCAGCAGCCGCGGUAAUACGUAGGUGGCAAGCGUUAUCCGGAUUUAUUGGGCGUAAAGCGAGCGCAGGCGGUUUUUUAAGUCUGAUGUGAAAGCCCUCGGCUUAACCGAGGAAGCGCAUCGGAAACUGGGAAACUUGAGUGCAGAAGAGGACAGUGGAACUCCAUGUGUAGCGGUGAAAUGCGUAGAUAUAUGGAAGAACACCAGUGGCGAAGGCGGCUGUCUGGUCUGUAACUGACGCUGAGGCUCGAAAGCAUGGGUAGCGAACAGGAUUAGAUACCCUGGUAGUCCAUGCCGUAAACGAUGAAUGCUAGGUGUUGGAGGGUUUCCGCUCUUCAGUGCCGCAGCUAACGCAUUAAGCAUUCCGCCUGGGGAGUACGACCGCAAGGUUGAAACUCAAAGGAAUUGACGGGGGCCCGCACAAGCGGUGGAGCAUGUGGUUUAAUUCGAAGCAACGCGAAGAACCUUACCAGGUCUUGACAUCUUUUGAUCACCUGAGAGAUCAGGUUUCCCCUUCGGGGGCAAAAUGACAGAUGGUGCAUGGUUGUCGUCAGCUCGUGUCGUGAGAUGUUGGGUUAAGUCCCGCAACGAGCGCAACCCUUAUGACUAGUUGCCAGCAUUUAGUUGGGCACUCUAGUAAGACUGCCGGUGACAAACCGGAGGAAGGUGGGGAUGACGUCAAAUCAUCAUGCCCCUUAUGACCUGGGCUACACACGUGCUACAAUGGAUGGUACAACGAGUUGCGAGACCGCGAGGUCAAGCUAAUCUCUUAAAGCCAUUCUCAGUUCGGACUGUAGGCUGCAACUCGCCUACACGAAGUCGGAAUCGCUAGUAAUCGCGGAUCAGCACGCCGCGGUGAAUACGUUCCCGGGCCUUGUACACACCGCCCGUCACACCAUGAGAGUUUGUAACACCCGAAGCCGGUGGCGUAACCCUUUUAGGGAGCGAGCCGUCUAAGGUGGGACAAAUGAUUAGGGUG